rnacentral:rRNA from 1 species
CCAGACUCCUACGGGAGGCAGCAGUGGGGAAUAUUGGACAAUGGACCGAGAGUCUGAUCCAGCAAUUCUGUGUGCACGAUGAAGUUUUUCGGAAUGUAAAGUGCUUUCAGUUGGGAAGAAAUAAAUGACGGUACCAACAGAAGAAGUGACGGCUAAAUACGUGCCAGCAGCCGCGGUAAUACGUAUGUCACGAGCGUUAUCCGGAUUUAUUGGGCGUAAAGCGCGUCUAGGUGGUUAUGUAAGUCUGAUGUGAAAAUGCAAGGCUCAACUCUGUAUUGCGUUGGAAACUGUGUAACUAGAGUACUGGAGAGGUAAGCGGAACUACAAGUGUAGAGGUGAAAUUCGUAGAUAUUUGUAGGAAUGCCGAUGGGGAAGCCAGCUUACUGGACAGAUACUGACGCUAAAGCGCGAAAGCGUGGGUAGCAAACAGGAUUAGAUACCCUGGUAGUCCACGCUGUAAACGAUGAUUACUAGGUGUUGGGGGUCGAACCUCAGCGCCCAAGCAAACGCGAUAAGUAAUCCGCCUGGGGAGUACGUACGCAAGUAUGAAACUCAAAGGAAUUGACGGGGGCCCGCACAAG